CAUUCUGUUGUCAUUAGCGUUUCUUGUCGUUAAAAAUGGGAAAUUAUUAGGCGAUAGUGUCGGGUAUAGAUUACGAUCCAAUGUUCCAGAUCGCUGUCAUUAACGAGAGUUGUCGGUGGUAGAUUAAGAGGGAGCUGCCGCGCAAUGCGUGAUGGGAGUCGAGCAGACCAGCUGAUCAGCAUGAUCAAAAUGGCGGCCUUUUCGUAGCGAUAGCCCGGUAUCCAGCCGUAUAUAGCUCCUGUUCUCUCCGUAUCAUAGCUCCCGAGCACUGUCCCGAGUCUCUUCUGUUCUCCCCGCAAAUGGUAGGCGAGACUUGAGAGCUACAAUAUGGCUGGAUACCAGGCUAGAUGUAGCCUUAUGUGCGAUGUAAAAGCAUUAGUACCCGUACAACGGUCGUUUAUAUAAUUUUUCAAAAGAUCAUGGUUAGCAUCUGUGAAGAUAACACCACAUUGAUACUGAUAGGAGCCAUAGUUUUGAUAGUUGCUUGGUGGCACGAGGUAGAUUCACAGCGGUAACCAGAAAAUCUCGGCGUACAAUUACGGCUGUCAACGUAACGCUCCCGGUUCCAGCCUUACAGGUACCAGACUCAACACAUGGCCGAACUGUUGGUGCAUAUGAGGAAAGCAGGCAUACCGGGACCAGUCUCCUUGCCUUUGGGACCAAGGGCGAUAUGGAAUACCCCGUGUUGUAUUCUAUUUAUAUCAUGCCAACCUGAGCAAACUCAAGUUUAUUGCUAAAAAGAACAAAUGACGGGACAAGAAGCUGAUGAUCAUGCAGCAGUGGAUUACCUGUUUCUACAUAGAGGAAUUAUUCAGUAACACCAGCCAUGUCCUAUUUUUUAAUGCAGUGAGGCUUAAACAAUAUGUCUCAUCGUCCUCAUCGGUCCCUUGACCAGGGGUGGUCGUGGGAGCACUUUGCUACUGAGCAAAUGAACAAUGAGUCUGUAAAAAGUUAAACUAGUAGUAGUAGAGGUGUACAGACAGCUUGUAUAUAGAAAGUUUUUUUUGUUAUUCUGCAGUGUGCUGUGUUUGUUAUCAUGUUAUAAUUGCUGUAACUCAGAUUCAAAUUCUUUUAAAAUCAUGUCUCUUUAGAUGGAAGAUAUAGUACUAGUAGAGUACAUUGAGUAGAAAAUGUUGAGGUUGUAUCUGUUUUGCAUGUUAAUUACAACUAACUUGUAUUAUACAUGAUGCAGAGAACUUUCUAAUGUUCUGUGUUGUAUUAGAUAUUCCAUGUAACAGCCUUUGCAUGUAAGGUAGCUAUGGGGAAGGAUGGAUUAGUUGUAUGUUUCAGAUGCUCAUCCAAAAAUAUUUAGGCAUAUGGGCAAUUGCUGAUGACUUUCAAAACACCAAAACACAGCGUUGGAGCUAUUGAGCUUAAACUGUACAGUUGUACAUGUAUGAGGUCACUGUCAAUGUCAGGUACAUGUGAUGAGACCUAGUGCGAGUCUUCCUAUGUAAUCUUGACAUAAGUACAUGAUGAUGGAGAAUAACAGGAAGAGGAAAUUGAAAGUGAGUAUUAGCUGUAAAGGUUUAGAAGAUUUAGUGUUUGUCCAAAGUGCAAUAUUGUAUUUGUCCAAAAUCAAUCAGUAGUUUCUUAUAUGUAUACAAAUAGAUAAGUGCAAACACAAAGGAUUAUUACUAUAUCUAGUUGCAUAUAAAAGUUGUCGGUCGGUCUUAUCCAUUUGCGGGACUCUGUUUUGUCAAGCUUUAUUUCAUUGUAGUCAAGUCAUCAUGAAAUAAAUAGUGGACUUUGAAAAAA